rnacentral:tRNA from 1 species
UCCCGUGUGGCUCAGUUGGUAGAGCAUGGUGUUUGCAACGCAAGGGUUGUGGGUUCAAUUCCCACGGCGGGAC